rnacentral:rRNA from 1 species
AUGCCGAGAAGAAGCAGGCAGGCCGGUGGUGCCGCCCACAGUCUACACCUACGCCAUCCUGAUGAACUGCUGCUGCCGCGUGCGUCGUCCGGACCUAGGGCUUGCCUUAUUUGGCCGCCUCCUAAGGACAGGCCUCAAACAAAUGAGAUCGUCGCCAGCACCGUCCUCAAGUGCCUCUGCUGCGCAAAACGGACAGAUGAAGCAGUAAACGUGCUGAUUCAUAGGAUGUCCGACCUCGGCUGUGUGCCAAAUGAGUUCUCAUACAAAACAGUUCUGAAGAGCCUGUGUGAAGAUAGCAGGAGCCAGCGAGCGCUCGAUCUGCUCCGGGUGAUGGCAAAAGGAGAUGGCUGCUCCCCCUGCGUGGUGUCAUACAGCACUGUCAUCUAUGGCUUCUUUAAGGAAGGAAAAGUAGGCAAGGCAUGCAAUCUAUUUCAUGAAAUGACGCAGCAAGGCGUUGUGUCUGAUGUGGUGACAUAUAACUCAAUUAUCGAUGCACUGUGCAAGGCCAGAGCUAUGGACAAGGCUGAGCUAUUCCUUCGGCAGAUGGUUGAUGAUGAUAUUCGACCGAAUGGAGUGACAUAUAAUGCAAUGAUCCAUGGAUAUUCCACUUUGGGCCAGUGGAAAAAGGCGACUCAAAUGUUUAGAGAAAUGACAAGCCGCGGUCUUGUACCAGAUACUGUCACUUGGAACUCAUGCAUGGCCUCCCUCUGCAAGCAUGGAAGAAGCAGAGAAGCUGCAGAACUUCUUUAUUCCAUGGCUGCGAAGGGCCACAAGCCUAAUGUCGUAUCCUACUCUACUUUGCUUCAUGGGUAUGCAAACGAAGGGUGCUUUGCUGAUAUGGUUAAUCUCUUUAAUUCAAUGGUAGGCAAAGGUAUUGUACCGGACCACCAUGUUUUCAACAUAUUCAUUAAUGCAUAUGCUAAGUGUGGGAUGAUGGAUGAAGUUAUGCAUAUGUUGACUGAAAUGCGGGAACAAGGAAUGAGUCCGGAUGUGUGCACCUAUGCAACCAUAAUAGCUGCACUUUGCAGAAUGGGUAGGCUGGCUGAUGCUGUGGACAAUUUUAAUCAGAUGAUUGGGAAGGGAGUACAGCCAAGCAAAGUUGUUUAUCGCUCCUUAAUUCAGGGAUUCUGUACACACGGUGAUUUGGUGAAAGCGAAGGAGUUCAUUUUUGAAAUGACGGACAAAUGUAUUUGUCGUCCUACCAUUGUCUUCUUCAAUUCAAUAAUGCAUAGUCUGUGCAACGAAGGAAGGGUCAUAGAUGCGCACCAUAUCUUUGACUUGGUUAUAGACAUUGGUGAGAGACCUGAUCUCAUUGCAUUUAAUACUCUGAUUGAUGGAUAUUGCUUAGUCGGCAACAUGGAGAAAGCACUCGGUGUACUUGAUUCCAUGGUAUCAGCUGGCAUUGAGCCUACUGUUGUUACAUAUAGCUCACUUAUUAGUGGGUAUUGUAAGAGUGGAAGGCUCGAUGAUGGUGUUAUUCUAUUCAGAGAAAUGGAGCAUAAGAGAGUUAAACCUGACACUGUUGCAUAUAACAUCAUACUGGAUGGGUUAUUUCAUGCUGGGGCAACAAUUGCUGCAAAGAAGUUGUUCAAUGAGAUGAUUGAAAGUGGAACAGCAGUGAGCAUUUCCACAUACAGGAUAGUUCUUGGAGGAUUUUGUAGGAAUAAUUGCACCGAUGAAGCGAUCGUCUUGUUCCAGAAAUUAGGUGCAAUGAAUGUGAAGUUCGAUAUUGCAAUACUCAAUACCAUGAUUAAUGCAAUGUACAAGGUUCAGAGAAGAGAAGAAGCUAACGAUUUGUUUGCUUCAUUACCAGCCUGUGGGCUCGUACCUAAUGCCUCUACUUACGGAGUAGUAAUACAGAAUCUUCUGAAAGAAGGAUCGUUGGAAGAAGCUGACAAUAUGUUUUCAUCAAUGGAGAAGAGUGGUUGUGCUCCCAGCUCUCGUCUUAUAAAUUAUAUCAUCAGAACGUUGUUGGAAAAGGGGGAGAUAGUCAAUGCAGCAAAUUAUAUGUCUAAAGUUGAUGGGAAGAUCAUCUCUUUUGAAGCUUCGACCACUUCGUUGUUGUUGUCUCUCUUUUCGGAGAAAGGCAAAUAUCAGGAACAAUUACAAUUGCUCCCUGCGAAAUACCAAUUCUUUGGUGGAGUCAUUUGA